GUCCACGCUCUAAACGAUGAGAGCUGGGUGUUGGCAGGGUUUCCUGUCAGUGCCGAAGCAAACGCGUUAAGCUCUCCGCCUGGGGACUACGAACGCAAGUUUAAAACUCAAAGGAAUUGACGGGGGGCCCCGCACAAGCAGCGGAGCGUGUGGUUCAAUUCGAUGCAACACGAAGAACCUUACCAGGGUUUGACAUGCAAGUGGUAGUGAAGGGAAACUGGAACGACCCGCAAGGGAGCUUGCACAGGUGCUGCAUGGCUGUCGU
rnacentral:rRNA from 1 species